CUUCCCGUGAAGAGGCGGGAAUAUGACAAUAAGACGAGAAGACCCUAUGGAGCUUUAAUUAACCAGCCCAAAGAGAUCUUAAUAACCAACCGACAGGGUAUAACAAACCUCUACCAUGGGCUGACAAUUUAGGUUGGGGUGACCUCGGAGAAUAAAACAACCUCCGAGUGAUUUAAAUCUAGACUAACCAGUCGAAAGUAUUACAUCACUUAUUGAUCCAAAGACUUGAUCAACGGAACAAGUUACCCUAGGGAUAACAGCGCAAUCCUAUUUCAGAGUCCAUAUCGACAA
rnacentral:rRNA from 1 species